AACAAUGGGGGAUGCCCUCCCAGAAUCUAAAGAUGGAAUUCUUUCAAAUGAGGACUUUCAGAGGAUCAAGGAACUAAAGGCACAAAAAGAAGUAAAAACUGCAUUGGUUCAGCAUGGGCUAGCAAAAUCAGCAACAAUUAAGGUUCCAAGCGCUGAUCAGCUAAGUUUAAAGCGAGUGGAUGGUACCAUGCUUGAAACGGGUGGCCUAAGCAACAGACAAAAGGAGCAC